rnacentral:lncRNA from 1 species
UGGGACGACUCAUAAGCCCCCAGUUAAGCAUCGCUGUCAGAGUAUCGGGGAGCCAGCAAGAAGUUUAUCUGCCGGUUUGCCCCACCGUGCUGUAUUUUAGUAAGGUCCUCCGCUACCUAGCAAAGAGAAAGUCUGGCACAGCGAUGAGCGACCAGCAUAUAAUUGCGGAAUGAACCCAGUAAAUGGCCUUUCCCCAGCUUCCCCGCUACCUAGAGAUCACACUGGUUAACAUAUGACGGUCAAUUUUUUCAGGAAACAGGCACAGAGAAGUUAAACAACUUGCCCAAGAUCUCAGCUAGUAAAUGGCAGAGCCUGGAUUUGAACCCAGGCAGAGCUCUAUCCACCCUUCUGCUUUCCAGUACUUUUUGCUAGACAAAUGUGCAUUGUGUACCUACUGUGUGACAGGAUUGUGCUGGCCUCAGAGCAGGGAUGCAAAGGUAAAUAAGUCCUUGAUUGGCAGCACACCAAAUGCUUACACUGGUCCGGGCGCGGUGAUUCAUGCCUGUGAUCCUAGCAGUUUGGGAGGCCAAGGUGGGCGGAUCCCUUGAGGCCAGGAGUUCGAAAUUAACCUGGACAACAUGGUGAAACCCCAUCUCUACUAAAAAUACAAAAAUUAGCCAGGCAUGGUGGCAGGCGGCUGUAAUCCCAGCUACUUGGGAGGCUGAGGAAGGAGAAUUGCUUGAACCUGGGAGGCAGAGGUUGCGGUGAGCCGAGAUUUAGCCACUGCACUCCAGCCUGGGCAACAGAGCAAGCCUCCGUCUCAAAAAAAAAAAAAAAAACCACUUACACUGGACCCAUAAGAAGAUUGGGGCAGCUGGGUGCAGUGGCUCACGCCUGUAAUCCCAGCACUUUGGGAGGCCAAGGUGGGUGGAUCACCUGAGGUCAGGAGUUCGAGACCAGCCUGGCCAACAUGGUAAAACCCCAUCUCUACUAAAAAUACGAAAAUUAGCUGGACGUGGUGGCACUUGCCUGUAAUCCCAGC